rnacentral:rRNA from 1 species
GUACACGCUGUGACUAGCAUAUCAAUAAGCGGAGGAAAAGAAACUAACAAGGAUUCCCUCAGUAACGGCGAGUGAAGCGGGAAGAGCUCAAAUUUGAAAUCUUGAAAGGUCACCUUUCACGAAUUGUAGUUUAAAGAAGUGUUUUCUGUUACGAUCGUAAUAUAAGUUCUUUGGAAUAGGACAUCACAGAGGGUGAGAAUCCCGUCUAUGAUUACGAUUUGUAGCUUUGUGAUACACUUUCAAAGAGUCGGGUUGUUUGGGAAUGCAGCCCAAAACGGGAGGUAAAUUUCUUCUAAGGCUAAAUAUUGGCGAGAGACCGAUAGCGAACAAGUACCGUGAGGGAAAGAUGAAAAGAACUUUGAAAAGAGAGUUAAAUAGUACGUGAAAUUGUCAAAAGGGAAGCGUUUAACACCAGUGUUGUUUUCUGAAAAUCAACCUCUGUUAGCUUUAUGCAUGUUUGUUUAGACCUAAUCAGCUAUCUUGCAUGUUCUAUUGUUUGCAGUGGUGCACUUUUCAGUUUACAGGUCAACAUCAGUUUUUUUUACCGUAAAAAAGUUAAAGAAAGGUAGCUCAUGGCUCCGGUCGUGAGUGUUAUAGUCUUUUUCCUAUGCGGUAGGAGAGACUGAGGUCUGCAGUGUAGGCUAUUUGGCUAGAUACUCAGGUGCUAUGUGAUACCAUUUCAUAAACAACUUGUUGAUUAUGUUUUGUCUAUUGCAUACUCGCUUGUACUAUCAUACCUACGCUUAGGAUGUUGAGUAGCGACAUACGCC